rnacentral:rRNA from 1 species
AUUGAACGCUGGCGGCAUGCCUUACACAUGCAAGUCGAACGGUAACGCGGGGCAACCUGGCGACGAGUGGCGAACGGGUGAGUAACGCAUCGGAACGUACCCAGUAGUGGGGGAUAGCCCGGCGAAAGCCGGAUUAAUACCGCAUAAGACCUACGGGUGAAAGCGGGGGAUCGCAAGACCUCGCGCUAUUGGAGCGGCCGAUGUCAGAUUAGGUAGUUGGUGGGGUAAAGGCCUACCAAGCCUACGAUCUGUAGCUGGUCUGAGAGGACGACCAGCCACACUGGGACUGAGACACGGCCCAGACUCCUACGGGAGGCAGCAGUGGGGAAUUUUGGACAAUGGGCGCAAGCCUGAUCCAGCCAUGCCGCGUGCGGGAAGAAGGCCUUCGGGUUGUAGACCGCUUUUGUCAGGGAAGAAACGCUCUGGGCUAAUACCCCGGGGUAAUGACGGUACCUGAAGAAUAAGCACCGGCUAACUACGUGCCAGCCGCCGCAGUAACAC